GACAUGAAAAUGGCGGUUGCUUUCGCUUCUGUUGACGUUAGUCUCGUUAUUCUAUGCUACAAGUAGCUUCUUCCACCUCCUCCAGUCCACUUUCCUGACGUUUUCCAAUUUCCACCUUUUAUACCCUAAUGAAGUGCCUUACGUAUGUUUAUGUUGCACAUACCGUGGACUGAAACCACAGAUACACUUACACUACUUACACUAAGUUCCAAGUACUUACAGGGACGGGAACUCGUCCCUGGUACUAAGAAACCCAACCCUCGGAGAGAAAUCAGAGCAGGGUUUUGAUUCCAGUAUGAAGUAAUGAUGGUGAUGAGUCUCCAGAUAAAUAUCCUACUUCCUCAGAUAAUUCAAAUCACUCUAACCAGGGGAAGUGCCAGUACACUCCAACCAUUCAGAAACUGAUCAGAGGAAAUGGGCAUUGUGGAUGAUACUAAAAAUGCGAAUGAAGUUAACAUUACUUUAGAACUGAUGGAUGACCUCUCAAAUAAUAUUUCAUUUUACAAUGGGUCUAUUGUGCCCUGGUCCUUCGAAUCAGUUUUCAAUAUAUCUGUUUGCUCUCAGUGGGGGCCAGUUAAUCAUAUGUUUUUCCAGUUAGCGAAUACGUUUUUCUUUUUAUCAUACCUAGCUCCAAAUGGAAUGUAUGGAAUAUUAUACCUUAGGUGCACUUUACUGAUUGGCUGCGCAUUUUUUGCCUGGUGGGGCUGGGCUAUUCUGUGCUCAUUCGACGCUUUCAUCUGGAAUGCAAACUUUGUUGCCAUCAACUUUAUCCAUGUUUGCGUACUCCUGUAUCAUUUAAGACCAAUUAAAUUCUCUAAAGAAAUUGAAGAGGUUUACCAAGCUCUCUUUCGACCCCUCAAAGUUAGCCGACAUCAAUUUAAGAAAGUUCUAGAUUGCAUGAAAAUGAUCCGACAGCUCAAGUAUCAGGAAGUUUAUGCUCAAGAAAAAGUCACAAAAGUUGACAGUCUCUCACUGGUGCUCUCUGGCAAGUUGGUAGUCUCGCAGAACAGUAGAGCUCUUCAUAUAGUUUUUCCUCAUCAAUUUUUGGAUUCCCCUGAGUGGUUCGGGGUCUCCACUGAUGAAUUCUUUCAAGUUUCUAUCACAGCUAUGGAAGAUUCUAGGGUACUAUUGUGGCACCGAGACAAGCUCAAACUCACCAUUAUUACAGAUCAGUUUCUUCAAGCUGUCUUUGAUCACAUUCUAGGACGAGACGUUGUUAAGAAACUGAUGCAGUCCAUUUUGAAGUUUGAUUCGAGCUCUUCAAUCCACUCUGCACCUCUAUUUUGCUCAGCCUCACUCUCAUGUAUUCUGUGCCAAAAACUAUCAACUUGCCCCAAUUCAGGCGUCUUCCCGUUUCCACUAGCGACUUCACCUCGAAGUUUCCGGUCAGUGAAACAAUGUCGCAUAAUGGACUUGUUCCCAACAACUGUGAUAUGGAGCAUUGCGACGAUAAACCAAUGCUCAUUGUGAAACGCUCUGGUGACGGCCCAGGAAUAACUGCUCUCAUCAAUAGGCAAAUUCAGGCAAAUGAUUUAAAUGCGUGGCGAUUGGGUCGCAUUGAAGAAACUGAUCAUGAAACACCUGUUUGAUUCCCACUUCAUCAUAGGCAGCUUUUGAGUGCUACUUUCCAUCUUUUUUUACUUUUUUGAAAUCUCCUAGAGGAUAGUAAGUAACUAAUUUUUAUAACCACCUAACCGAAGACUUGAAUUUUUUUAGUUUUAAGUAAUUUUUAGUUGUUAUUACAAGUAUGGCUUUAUUAUAUUUUAUUUUCUUCUAAUCUCUGAGUGUAUUUACUAUUGAUGUUCAAGUGUUAACUUUUGUGGGCCUUCCCCUCUUCAGAAAUACUUACAUAUUAUUCUGUUGAAAUUUGCCCUUAUUUCUCUGUUUUCUCAAUGUACCAACAGCUAUCAGCUAUCAAAAAAAUUAUAGUUCCUUUGUCAAGUAUUAAGUUCAGAAAUUAAAUAGGCCCUUAAGGAAAACCAUCUAGGUGGGAAGUGAAUGAAGGUAAUGUAGAAAUACUAAUGAAGAAAUGUAGUAAUAUUAUCCAACACAUUCAUUGUGAUAAAUCAGUAAACACAACCAACCAACCCUAAACCUUUUAGAGGCCAGCUCUUUGUGGAUUUAGGUGUAAAGACCAUCCCUAAAUUACGUAACGCUUCAGAGGAUGGGUAGGGAUCUUUAUCAGGAUGAUAGGUCUAUGGUGGUCCGCAUCAGCACGAAAAGUAAAGGGCUCUAACAUAGCAUGAUGUCAUUCAACUAUUCUGCGUGAAUCGCAGAUUUUUAUGGUUGUGGUCAAAAUCAUGGACAAAAACAGUGGUCUUGAUGGUCAAAAGAGGGGUAUCCAGCAAAUCGCAUGAUCUAUGCUUUCAGGGGAAGUCAAGACCUAUGUGGUAAGGGAACUCUUUGCACCUAACGCCUCAAUCAGUACUUCUAUAGCUUUUUAUUUCAAGAGAUUGUUGAUGGUGAGACUUAACUUUAAUAGCAUUAGCUUUUCUCAUCAAUCUAACAACAGCACAAGACAUUUAUUUUAUGGGGAAUGUUUUAUACUCAAGACAGUUUUUGCUGAGUCCUUUGUACGAGUUCGAUUGUUUUACCGCAGCUACUUUAUUAUUGUAUGAAAACAACCCUUACUCUAAUAGUGUUAGUGGUAAGGAAGUCAAAACUUGAAAUGUGCAUGUACCAUGGGAAGGUACGUGUUUCUUUUUGAGCCUAUUCAUUGUCACCUCUCUUGCCCAUUUUCUUCUCUUUCAUUAGUGAUAUAGGCUUCUCAGAUAUUUGAUGCCUUUUAUUUUUUUAACUUUACUGUACUUUUUACCAGACCAUUCCUCUCAUCUUCUUCUACCAGUUGUCCUUAAGACUUGUUAAAUAUGGCAUGUGGCGGUAUCCAAAUAUUGAGUCAGUUCUUUUUUUUCUUUUUAUUCUCUCUAAGGUUUAUGAAUCAAUCAGGAUUGAACUCUCAUAGAGAAAAUUGCGAAGACUCUGAAGAAAUUGAGGCAUUACAUGCAUUAGGGCCCUCAUGCCUAAACCAUGCUUUGCGAAAAUUGCAUUUGAAGUUAUCAAAAUGAGAUAGUUAAGAGAGGAAUUGGUAUUUUGCAACCAAUUUUGUUUGUAACUGUGACAUUCAAGGAGGCUUGAAAUCGAGGAAUUUUUGUAAUUUUGCAGUCUUAAGAUUGAAUAAAUGGGAGGUGGUUUGAGGGCCUUGUUUAUGUACGAUGGCGAUUCGAGUCGGUUCAACCUCUCCUAAAUGAACUGUAGAGAUAUAUUCGAUGAGAUAGUGCAUGAAUUUCAUAAAAUAUGCCAUUGAAGAUAUUUCAGGAUUCAACUGUAUUAAUUAUCAGUACCUGGUGCAGAGGAAGGUUGGCGAAAGGAACUGGUGGGGAAAUCCCAGGUGUUGCAAAGCACGGCCCCUUGUUAGUCCACGCCACCAACCUUCAUUGCGCUACAAGCUGUCUCCGAAGGCAUCGAUUGCCCUUUCCGAGACAGUGCAUGAAUUUUAUAAAAUAUGCCAUUCAAGAUAUUUCAGGAUUAAACUGUAUUAAUUAUCAGUACCUGGUGCAGAGGAAGGCUGGCGAAGGGAACUGGUGGGGAAAUCCCAGGUGUUGCAAAGCACUGCCCCUUGUUAGUCCACGCCACCAACCUUCAUUGCGUUACAAGCUGUCUCCAAAGGCAUCGAUCGCCCUUUCCGAGAAGCACAUUUUUAGGUGGCAUUUCUCGUAGAAUCAUCGGGCCAUGACCUUUGGUACAUAUAUUCUUUCAGAAUAUGAACAAAAGAAUAUGAACAAUAAAUGAAGGUGCUAUCUGCAAAAAGGGCUCUUGUUGCAUACGAUGCCUCAAUGGAAUAAUCCCUUCGAUUACCGACAUGUAUUUUGUAAAUGAAAUUUUGUGAAGUACAAAUUCAAAUUUUCUUACUCAAGAGAGCUCUAAAUGAAGUGAAGAAUGAAAAAACAUCUGGACUCUCCCUAUAAAGCCUGUGUUUUCAUUCGCAUUUUUUUAAAUUUUUUUUUUUGUUACCGGGUAGGUUUUACUAAUUUUAUUUUACUUCAAGUACUGCAUAAUCUGUAAGGCACCCACUUAUUUAUUUUUUAAAGUGUUGAUUUUUAAGUCCCCUUUUUUUAAUCGUUAAGGAGUAGUGUUUUCUUCCAUUUUUCUUUAUUGCACAUAUUCUAAAAUGUCAGUAUUUUAUAUUUGUCUCUUACAUGUUUCUUGAGGUAUUUAUGUUCAUUUGAUUCUGGUCAUUUUGUGCCAAUCUGUUAGUCUUAUAAGCCUUCUGCUGUACAGUUUUAGUCGCUCUUUUUUUCAUUCUAUCCCAUUAUCAGUUAGGCUAUUUUUCAUUUUUCCCUUUCUUUAUUUUACGAGGUCUGUU